UACGUAGGGGGCAAGCGUUGUCCGGAUUUAUUGGGCGUAAAGAGCGUGUAGGCGGCCAUGUAGGUCCGUUGUGAAAACUCGAGGCUCAACCUCGAGACGUCGGUGGAAACCGUUUGGCUAGAGUCCGGAAGAGGAGAGUGGAAUUCCCGGUGUAGCGGUGAAAUGCGCAGAUAUCGGGAAGAACACCCGUGGCGAAGGCGGCUCUCUGGGACGGUACUGACGCUGAGACGCGAAAGCGUGGGGAGCGAACAGG
rnacentral:rRNA from 1 species